CCCUCCAAGUAAUUUUCGCAAAUUCUUUCAUGGACUUCUUAGAGAGCAUAGUCUGUUUCAGUUAGUCUUAAACACUUGCACGAUGGGAGAGAGAAUGACCUUUUAUACAAUUGUCAAUUCAUUAACACAUACUAUGAGGCCAUCCAUCUUGGUCAUUUUGCUUUCGAUGAAUCCUCGGAUAGAGUCUCAUUGGUCAAGUACUGAAUAAUCGGAUCCAUCUAGCUUGGCUUGUUGUUUAUUUGUUAUACUUCAUCGACUUUGUCGAUACUCGAUUGUUCGACAUAUUCGAUGAAUGUUCCAUCG
rnacentral:lncRNA from 1 species